rnacentral:lncRNA from 13 species
GAAGUCAGGCACAACUUCUCUGCCCCCCCCCCCCUUUCCUGGACCAUAGAACCUCACCCGGGAGCUGAAUAAAUUGGCAUUUAAUUGUUCUUAUACGGACCUCAGUUUCCUCAUUUUAGACUCGGCGAUAACCCUUACAUCAAUGAUGAUCAUAUUUCUGAGUAUUAUAACCACUAGGAAGAUAGACAGCAGGAAAAGUUCUUUAAUUUCUACCUGCAAUAAAUACAGGAUACAGUAUAUUUUUUUGACUUUUUGUUUUGCAGGAGUUUGUUUUGAUUGGUUUUGGUCAAGUAAGCUACACUGAUGUUCUGGUGACAUUCUAAUUUUACAGAAGGGACACUUUCACUUAUAUGAUAUAGAUCAAUAAUUUCACGAUUCUCAGUAAUUCAGGGUUCUCAAUAAUUAUCCAAGGUUUUCAUACAACGUGAAGAAUAAGUUAGCAUGUGUUUUAAGAAAGUUGCUCUUGGCCUUUGUAAGAAAGUCUAAUAAUUGGAUGGACUUUCAAAGAUGCAUCUUGUUUUGAGAAAAUUCUGCUUUUAAUCAGUAUGCAAAUUAUCUAAAAGGUACUUGGUACCCCUUAGAUACCCCUUCAUUUCAGAAUAGUGGGGACCAGCGGACACAGUGGCACUUGUCUGUAAUCCCAGCAUUUUGGGAGGAACAAAGCAAAAAAAGGUACCUGCAAGUUAUGUAAGGUGAUAAUUAAAAAUCAGAAAUUUGAAAAGCUACCAUCUUUGAGUAUGCCAAUAAGAAAAAAAACCAGCAGAUUAUUUCCAUUUCAAAAGAAUUAAGAGGUCAGCCCAGAUGUCAUAUAUAACUAGUAUCUUUAUCAGCUUUCUCUUUACUUUUAGAUGACUGUCAAAAUGUGGAACGAUCCAGAAGGCUGAAGAAUCCUGACUCUUUAAGGAAUAUAUUUCCAUUUUAAAUGUUGUUUGGGAAAAGUAAAGGAAGCAGCCUUCUCAAAGGUCAUGGAAGAAGAAGUCAUGCUUCUAGGAGACGACUGUUUCACCUAAUCUCAGGUGUCCAACAUCUCUUGCUACUGGAGAGACCUGAGCCUUCAGUCCCAACAAAAGUAAUAUCCAAGAGUUAAACUGCCUAGACCCUGAAUGAGCUGACUGUUCAUUUCAGCCCUCCUAAGGAAGAGAGACAUAGAUUUUCUCUAUCCCUUAAUAUUCGCUUCCAUAUAGACUGGGUAAAUUAUUGUUGAACUGAUUUGUUUCCAAUUUCUGAUGCUCCC